GGGGAAUAUUGCACAAUGGGCGCAAGCCUGAUGCAGCCAUGCCGCGUGUAUGAAGAAGGCCUUCGGGUUGUAAAGUACUUUCAGCGAGGAGGAAGGUGCUGAGGUUAAUAACCUCAGCAAUUGACGUUACUCGCAGAAGAAGCACCGGCUAACUCCGUGCCAGCAGCCGCGGUAAUACGGAGGGUGCAAGCGUUAAUCGGAAUUACUGGGCGUAAAGCGCACGCAGGCGGUCUGUCAAGUCGGAUGUGAAAUCCCCGGGCUCAACCUGGGAACUGCAUCCGAAACUGGCAGGCUAGAGUCUUGUAGAGGGGGGUAGAAUUCCAGGUGUAGCGGUGAAAUGCGUAGAGAUCUGGAGGAAUACCGGUGGCGAAGGCGGCCCCCUGGACAAAGACUGACGCUCAGGUGCGAAAGCGUGGGGAGCAAAC
rnacentral:rRNA from 1 species